UAGGGAAUCUUCCACAAUGGACGCAAGUCUGAUGGAGCAACGCCGCGUGAGUGAAGAAGGUUUUCGGACCGUAAAGCUCUGUUGUUGGUGAAGAAGGAUAGAGGUAGUAACUGGCCUUUAUUUGACGGUAAUCAACCAGAAAGUCACGGCUAACUACGUGCCAGCAGCCGCGGUAAUACGUAGGUGGCAAGCGUUGUCCGGAUUUAUUGGGCGUAAAGCGAGCGCAGGCGGAAGAAUAAGUCUGAUGUGAAAGCCCUCGGCUUAACCGAGGAAUUGCAUCGGAAACUGUUUUCUUGAGUGCAGAAGAGGAGAGUAGAACUCCAUGUGUAGCGGUGGAAUGCGUAGAUAUAUGGAAGAAUACCAGUGGCGAAGGCGGCUCUCCGGUCUGCAACUGACGCUGAGGCUCGAAAGCAUGGGUAGCGAACAGGAUUAGAUACCCUGGUAGUCCAUGCCGUAAACGAUGAGUGCUAAGUGUUGGGAGGCUUCCGCCUCUCAGUGCUGCAGCUAACGCAUUAAGCACUCCGCCUGGGGGAGUACGACCGCAAGGUUGAAAC
rnacentral:rRNA from 1 species